rnacentral:rRNA from 1 species
GACGAACGCUGGCGGCGUGCCUAAUACAUGCAAGUAGAACGCUGAAGGAGGAGCUUGCUUCUCUGGAUGAGUUGCGAACGGGUGAGUAACGCGUAGGUAACCUACCUGGUAGCGGGGGAUAACUAUUGGAAACGAUAGCUAAUACCGCAUAAGAGUAGAUGUCGCAUGACAUUUGCUUAAAAGGUGCAAUUGCAUCACUACCAGAUGGACCUGCGUUGUAUUAGCUAGUUGGUGAGGUAACGGCUCACCAAGGCAACGAUACAUAGCCGACCUGAGAGGGGGAUCGGCCACACUGGGACUGAGACACGGCCCAGACUCCUACGGGAGGCAGCAGUAGGGAAUCUUCGGCAAUGGACGGAAGUCUGACCGAGCAACGCCGCGUGAGUGAAGAAGGUUUUCGGAUCGUAAAGCUCUGUUGUAAGAGAAGAACGAGUGUGAGAGUGGAAAGUUCACACUGUGACGGUAUCUUACCAGAAAGGGACGGCUAACUACGUG